AACGGGCUGGGCCUUCCAGGUUGGAGAACAACUCGGCAAUAUAAUCAGAAUUUCAAAGGAACCUACCCUUUAACCUAACCCCUACGCACGUAGGGAGCUGUCCUGCGGACGGGACUGCAAGGAUAAAUUCCUUAGGUGGCUCGUGGCAGCACUGUUUGCUGAUAGACCAGACGUGACUGGGAAAGAGUAAGAGUACCAGCACCUACAAGCAUGAAGUUACCAUUUACCAGGGUGGGGAAGACUGCGAGGAGCCGGCCUUUCAGCCAGCGGGGCUGACAGGAGUGGAGCGCUUCGGCAGAGGAGUGUAGCUCGUCCCUGGCAACCCUACAUGGAAAACAGACAUCCUGACCUCACUCUCCUCCCCCUGAACUCCUGUCUGUCUUGGCCAGCGGUCAAACCCCAUGGAAAGCCAGAAAGGACUUUUCCACAGCUCUACCUACAUUUCAAGAAGACUCCCCUGACCAGUGCUCACUACAGUCCCUGGCAUCUCAGGACACGGUUCCUGGUGUUGGCGGCCUCCACCCAGUGGUGCACCGGAGCUGGCCCAAACCUCCUGGAGAGCUGCCUGGAGUGCUGCCUGGAGUGUGCCCAUCUCUUCCCAACUUCUCUUGAGGGGCUGACCCUGGACAUUUGUGCUGCACUGGAUGACACCCCUGUUGGUCCCAUAGAAACCAAGGUGAAGGACCUGGAAAGGGCACAGCCAGGAGGGCAGGUGGUCUUACCAGCUGAACCAUGACCCCAACAGCUUCUAUUCAUCCUGGGGUUGUGGGUGACCAUGAGGGUAAGUUUGUGGCUUAAAGAGACUCCCUCGCAAGCCUGCUGUGAAGAUGGAAUGGCAAAUCACUGUCUGAGAGUCAGAUCAUGGGCUCAUGAUAUAAUUUCUGUCUUGGUCUUAGAUGUCCCAGUCUGUCAAAUGGAAAUAAGAAAAGGUCUGUGGGUUGGGCACUGGGAAUAGAUCAUAUUAUUUAGAAAGCUGGGCGAGAAGCCAGUUUCUUCUUCUGGAAAUGGUUGACAGGGUCGCAACAGGGGGGGAAAAAACAGAGAAAAAUGUUUCCCCUUCUGCUGUGGACAUGAAUCCAUCCCACAGUAUCUUUGAGAUCCACAGAGCUGGGAUCCCAGAGAGACGCAUGUAUGUGUAUGUAUGGGAUAUUUGGGGAGGACUUCUUCAGGAAAGACCCAGGAAAGAAAGACCCAGAAAAACCUCCAUUUCAGUGGUGGGGGCCAGGAAGCAGGAACUGGACCACAAGCUGGGAGGGGCUCGGGAAUGUGGAGGUGCAGAGCGGUCAGGCCCAGCCCCUCAGCCGCCCCAUCCCUUAUUCCUCAAGGUCCCUGUGUGUCACAUCAGGAGUUCGGGUCAGACCCUCUAAUGCAGCCCCUAAAGGCCUCCAGGCCUUCUCCUGCACUGGUUCCAUCACAGGGGACUGGGCCUGCCUGUGACUACAGAAUGACCCUCGGCUCUGGGCCUCAGGCAUUUGUAAAAUCAGCAGAGUCGUCUAGAGAAGCCCUUCCUAAAGUGGGGCUCAUGAGUCUCAUGGCCAGCAGGGAAUUUGAGAGAAAAAAAACGACCUUGGGCUCAUUUCCCCGAGAAGCGGACCCUGAGACAAAGAUGUGAGUAGAAGUGUUUCACUUGGGAAGUGAUCCCAUGAAGGACAAUGGAGAGACCAGGAGGUAGGGAAGGGAAGGAAACCACCACACGGUGUGUUGAUGCGUGUUUGCUGCUGUGGGCAACUGAGGCUCAGCCCCACUGGGGCCUCUGGGAUGCUGUGUGCAACAUGCCUCGGAGAGCCCCACCCUAGUCCGCUCGGGUAAAGGGCUGCAUCUGGGGCGUUAGCUCCCUGGCACUCCCAGCCUGCCCUGCAUGCCAGUUGAGCACCAUCCUGUGACCAGAGAAAUACCCCAGGUUCAGCAUGUGUUUGCAGUGAGACGCCGUGAGCACGUGUGGGAAUUGGGAGUGCCACCGGACACGAGGAGGGUGUGGCAGAGUCUGCCACACUGACAAGCAAUUUUGUUUAUGUACAUUUCAUCAGUGUGAGAUAAGUGGGGCGCCUGGGUAGCUCAGUCGGUUAAGCGGUUGCCUCUUGAUUUCGGUUCAGGUCAUGAUCUCAGCUUCCUGAGAUUGAGCCUUGCAUCAUGCUCCACACUCAGCAGGGAGUCUGCUCGAGAUUCUCUCCCUCUCCUUCUGCCCCUCCACCCUUCAUUCAAAUAAAUAAAUAAAUCUUUUUUU